GACGAACGCUGGCGGCGUGCUUAACACAUGCAAGUCGAACGGUGAACUCCGCUUGCGGGGGGAUCAGUGGCGAACGGGUGAGUAACACGUGGGCAACCUGCCCUCAGCUCUGGGAUAACUCCAAGAAAUUGGGGCUAAUACCGGAUAUGACCGCUGACCGCAUGGUCUGGUGGUGGAAAGCUUUAUCGGCUGGGGAUGGGCCCGCGGCCUAUCAGCUUGUUUGUGGGGUAGUGGCCUACCAAGGCGACGACGGGUAGCCGGCCUGAGAGGGUGACCGGCCACACGGGGACUGAGACACGGCCCAGACUCCUACGGGAGGCAGCAGUGGGGAAUAUUGCGCAAUGGGCGAAAGCCUGACGCAGCGACGCCGCGUGGGGGAUGACGGCCUUCGGGUUGUAAACCUCUUUCAGCAGGGACGAAGCGAAAGUGACGGUACCUGCAGAAGAAGCACCGGCCAACUACGUG
rnacentral:rRNA from 1 species